GAUGAAGAACGCAGCGAAAUGCGAUAAGUAAUGUGAAUUGCAGAAUUUAGUGAAUCAUCGAAUGUUUGAACGCACAUUGCGCCCCCUGGUAUUCCGGGGGGCAUGCCUGUCCGAGCGUCAUUGCUGCCCUCAAGCACGGCUUGUGUGUUGGGCCUCCGUCCUCCUCCCGGGGGACGGGCCCGAAAGGCAGCGGCGGCACCGCGUCCGGUCCUCGAGCGUAUGGGGCUUCGUCACCCGCUCUUGUAGGCCCGGCCGGCGCUUGCCGACACAUCAAUCUUUUUUCCAGGUUGACCUCGGAUCAGGUAGGGAUACCCGCUGAACUUAAGCAUAUCAAUAAGCGGAGGA
rnacentral:misc_RNA from 1 species